UAGCCUUGACAUUGAUUGAAUUUUCCAGAGAUGGAGAAGUGCCUUUCGGGGAACAUGAAAACAGGUGCUGCACGGCUGUCGUCAGCUCGUGUCGUGAGAUGUUGGGUUAAGUCCCGCAACGAGCGCAACCCUCGUCGUUAGUUGCUAACAGGUUAAGCUGAGCACUCUAGCGAGACUGCCUUCGCAAGGAGGAGGAAGGUGAGGACGACGUCAAGUCAUCAUGGCCCUUAUGGCUAGGGCUACACACGUGCUACAAUGGGGCGUACAGAGAGUUGCGAUACCGCGAGGUGGAGCCAAUCUCAUAAAGCGUCUCUCAGUUCGGAUUGUUCUCUGCAACUCGAGAACAUGAAGCUGGAAUCACUAGUAAUCGUAGAUCAGCAACGCUACGGUGAAUACGUUCCGCGGGUCU
rnacentral:rRNA from 1 species